rnacentral:rRNA from 1 species
UACGUAGGGUGCGAGCGUUUGUCCGGAAUUAUUGGGCGUAAAGAGCUCGUAGGCGGUUCGUCACGUCGGCUGUGAAAUCCCGAGGCUCAACCUCGGGUCUGCAGUCGAUACGGGCGGACUGGAGUACUGCAGGGGAGACUGGAAUUCCUGGUGUAGCGGUGAAAUGCGCAGAUAUCAGGAGGAACACCGGUGGCGAAGGCGGGUCUCUGGGCAGUAACUGACGCUGAGGAGCGAAAGCAUGGGGAGCGAACAGG